rnacentral:rRNA from 1 species
CCUACGGGAGGCAGCAGUGAGGAAUAUUGGUCAAUGGGCGGAAGCCUGAACCAGCCAAGUCGCGUGAGGGAUUAAGGCCCUGCGGGUCGUAAACCUCUUUUGCCGGGGAGCAGUGGUCCGGACGCGUCCGGACCGGGAGAGUACCCGGAGAAACAGCAUCGGCUAAAUCCGUGCCAGCAGCCGCGGUAAUACGGAGUAUGCGAGCGUUAUCCGGAUUUAUGGGGUUUAAAGGGUGCGUAGGCGGGCAUUUAAGCCGGCGGUCAAGUGUCGGGGCUCAACCCCGGCCUGCCGUCGGAACUGGGGGCCUUGAGUGGGCGAGAAGUAUGCGGAAUGCGUGGCGUAGCGGUGAAAUGCAUAGAUAUCACGCAGAACCCCGAUUGCGAAGGCAGCAUACCGGCGCCCUACUGACGCUGAGGCACGAAAGUGCGGGUAUCGAACAGGAUUAGAUACCUAGUAGUC